ACUAGUUCAACCGAAGGGGAAUCCGAAGAUAUACAAAUUUCCAGUAUUACUGAUAUAACAAGUACAAGUAGAGACUCAAAGACACCCCAUCACAAUUAAUUUUUGACUUGCUUAAUAAUUCAAGAAUGUAAUUUGGCAUUAUGGAUUAAUUUUCUUUGUUAUAGAAAAAAAGCUCCAGAACCACACCCACCUCCCCCAUCGAAAAUUUACAAUUUGAAAUAUGCGA